rnacentral:rRNA from 1 species
GAUGAACGCUGGCGGCGUGCCUAAUACAUGCAAGUCGAGCGAACGGACGAGAAGCUUGCCUCUCUGAUGUUAGCGGCGGACGGGUGAGUAACACGUGGAUAACCUACCUAUAAGACUGGGAUAACUUCGGGAAACCGUAGCUAAUACCGGAUAAUAUUUUGAACCGCAUGGUUCAAAAGUGAAAGACGGUCUUGCUGUCACUUAUAGAUGGAUCCGCGCUGCAUUAGCUAGUUGGUAAGGUAACGGCUUACCAAGGCAACGAUGCAUAGCCGACCUGAGAGGGUGAUCGGCCACACUGGAACUGAGACACGGUCCAGACUCCUACGGGAGGCAGCAGUAGGGAAUCUUCCGCAAAGGGCGAAAGCCUGACGGAGCAACGCCGCGUGAGUGAUGUAGGUCUUCGGAUCGUAAAACUCUGUUAUUAGGGAAGAACAUAUGUGUAAGUAACUGUGCACAUCUUGACGGUACCUAAUCAGAAAGCCACGGCUAACUACGUG